UACAGAGGUGGCAAGCGUUGUUCGGAUUUAUUGGGCGUAAAGGGUCCGUAGGCGGUUUGGAAAGUCGGGUGUGAAAUCCCACAGCUCAACUGUGGAACUGCAUUCGAAACUUCCAGACUAGAGUAUGAGAGGGGUUAAGGGAAUUCCCGGUGUAAGGGUGAAAUCUGCAGAGAUCGGGAGGAACACCAGUCGCGAAGGCGCUUAACUGGCUCAUUACUGACGCUCAGGGACGAAAGCUAGGGUAGCAAACGGG
rnacentral:rRNA from 1 species